GCGGAAGCUGAGGUGCAAAGAGCCCAUGAGCUACCAGUGACUUCUGUCAUUCCAGAGUGACACCUGUAGACAGGGGUGUACCGGUACCGCACGGCUCCUUUAAGUUUUGCUCAGAACUCCAGGAUGAUCAUUCUAGGCAAUCUAAACGCUAAUAAACCAUCAUCAACAUUUCCCAGCAGAUCAAUAUGAUCUAUGAACACAUACUCCAUCUGAAUCCUUCCAUUGAUGAUGUUCUCCAUCAGAGCCUAUACAAGUAGCUGCACACCUUUGCGCAGCUACUUAUAUACAGUAGGUGUGAUUGUCUGCACACCUUGAUCACUUUAAAAAUAAUCAAACUUGUUUGGGGUUAAUCUGCUGAUCCAAUCCUGUUUUCUUUUUUUAGUGAGAAUGAAAUUACCCCAUAGAUGCAUUCCAUGCGCUUCGGCGCACAGACCGAUGCGUUACAUCUUUAUGAGACAAAAACAGAGGAAAAGUACUAUUUACAUUCGAGUGAGGUUUUCACAUCCUUUUACUUUUAUUUUCUUUAUGUUGUGUGCGCGCUAGGCUAUUGUAUGAAGAAAAAUGGUAAAGUUUCAUGUUUACUUUUAAACAAUAUGUCAUGUUCCGGGGUCUUUUAGCUCCUUUGUGGAGUUUUUGUGCAUGCACUCGUUUUUCUCCACCACUAGAUGGCGCCUUGUCGGAGGGCGUGGAUGACGUCAUCCCACACCUGAUGCGAGUUUGGCUAUCAGCGAGAUGUUCAAGAGGAGCUGACUGCCAGUCCUUCGGCGCCUGAGUGUUAGCCAGUCACGGUACCUCUGAGCCCCUAGAAGCUUGCUUCUGGUUUGCCUUGUUGAUCUGCUCCUAGUGAACGUUUUCUUUGUUGCUUCUCCUGCCUCCAGGUGUUUCCUCCUGGCUCCUCUACAUCCGCUGAUCCUGAGCCUACCUGUCCGCCCUCCGACGUACUCCCUUUGCCUCCUGGAUCCCCGCUGUCAGACAAGACGACCACCUGGAACCUCUGAGAACUAAAACCCCGGACGCUGCAGUUACCCUCCCACUUCUCUAACCUGCCGAUCACAAUGAACUGUUUGAUUCCCUGAACCAGCCUCUCUCCCUGGACCCGACCCGAGCCAACUAUUCCUGCCAGCAGUGUUUUCAAUAAAUUUAUCUUUUAUUUCA